AAAUCAGGGCACCCAGUGGCCGCUGCCAGGCUGAGCUAUGGAGCCAGAGCAGCUGGAAACGGCCUCCCGUGGGCCGAGUUAGGCGAGAGAGCCUGGUGGUGAAACCGACCUGGGGCCCAGCCCUAUGGAGCUCACAGUCUGGUGGGGAAGUCUAUGAAACAAGUGUACAGUCACCAAUUGUGAUAAGCUCAAAAGAGAGAGGUGUGAACCAUAGGCGGGAACAG
rnacentral:lncRNA from 1 species